rnacentral:rRNA from 1 species
GCGCAGCAGGCGCGAAACCUUCGCAAUGCAGGAAACUGCGACGAGGGAACUCCAAGUGCCUACGCUCAGCGUAGGCUGUCCUCAAGCCUAGAAAGCUUGAGGAGUAAGGGCUGGGUAAGACGGGUGCCAUCUGUGGUACCAGUCAAUAGAUUCGAUUUGUUACUGCAAGGCAUAAGCCGCCGCGGUAAUACCCGCAGCCCAAGUGGUGGCCGCUUUUAUUGGGCCUAAAGCGUCCGUAGCCGGCCCGGUAAAUGCCUGGGUAAAUCGUGGAGCCCAACUUCACGAAUUCCGGGUAGACUGCCGAGCUCGGGACCGGAGGAGGGAGAGGGUACUUCGAGGGGUAGGGUGAAAAUUUCCUUUCCGAUUUAACGCUUUUGCGCGGAAGCGGAAAGGGUUAUCACGAAUCCUGUAAUCCCGUGGAGGACCACCC